rnacentral:rRNA from 1 species
GACGAACGCUGGCGGCGUGCUUAACACAUGCAAGUCGAACGGAAAGGCCCUAGCUUGCUGGAGUGCUCGAGUGGCGAACGGGUGAGUAACACGUGGGUAAUCUGCCCUGCACUUUGGGAUAAGCCUGGGAAACUGGGGCUAAUACUGGAUAUGAGCUUUUUCCUCAUGGGGGUUGGUGGAAAGUUUGGCGGUGUGGGGUGGGACCGCGGCCUUUCAGCUUGUUGGGGGGGUUAUGGCCUACCAAGGCGACGACGGGUAGCCGGCCUGAGAGGGUGAUCGGCCACAUUGGGACUGAGAUACGGCCCAGACUCCUACGGGAGGCAGCAGUGGGGAAUAUUGCACAAUGGGCGGAAGCCUGAUGCAGCGACGCCGCGUGAGGGAUGACGGCCUUCGGGUUGUAAACCGCUUUCGGCAGGGACGAAGCGUAAGUGACGGUACCUGCAGAAGAAGCACCGGCUAACUAUGUG